rnacentral:lncRNA from 1 species
UGCAACAGGAUUCUGGGGAUAUUGCUGACCAUCUUUGGUCAUGGGGUAACCAGCUGGUGGUGGAGUCAAAUAGGAUCCUGGCGCAGUGGAUGGUGGUGGGUAUGCAUCUGAACCAUAUAUUCAACAAGUAAACCAAAUUAAUUGCUUUGCAUGAUUGGGAAAUCAUAAUUAGAUAUAUCAUGUGAAGAAGAGAACGUCCUGACCUGAUGGUUGAUUGAUCUGCUGCAGGUUUUGGCUCAUCUUGGAAUUUAGUAUGAACAAGAAGGAAAACAAAGAUGGAGUUUUCAAGAUUGUGAAGAAAUUAACUAAUAUCUGAGGAGCUGGAAAG